UGGGGAAUAUUGCACAAUGGGCGGAAGCCUGAUGCAGCGACGCCGCGUGGGGGAUGAAGGCCUUCGGGUUGUAAACUCCUUUCGACAGGGACGAAGCUUUUGUGACGGUACCUGUAUAAGAAGCACCGGCUAACUACGUGCCAGCAGCCGCGGUAAUACGUAGGGUGCGAGCGUUGUCCGGAAUUACUGGGCGUAAAGAGCUCGUAGGUGGUUUGUCGCGUCGUCUGUGAAAUUCCGGGGCUUAACUCCGGGCGUGCAGGCGAUACGGGCUGACUUGAGUGCUGUAGGGGAGACUGGAAUUCCUGGUGUAGCGGUGAAAUGCGCAGAUAUCAGGAGGAACACCGAUGGCGAAGGCAGGUCUCUGGGCAGUAACUGACGCUGAGGAGUGAAAGCAUGGGUAGCGAACAGG
rnacentral:rRNA from 1 species